rnacentral:sRNA from 1 species
AAACAUACUUAAUAAUUAAAACCAUAAAUAAAACUGAAAAUUCAAAAAUAAAUAAAUUUUAUAAGAAAAAGCUUAAUACUUUAUGCAUUUGGUACAUCACCAAAAUUGCAUCAAGUAGUGUGAUAAACUGUAAAUAACGUUGAACUCGCGGGUUUUCCGGAUUGCCUCUAUACAUAUGAUAAAGUUUCUUCAAGAUAUCCAAACGAUUUUUAACACAUCUCCAACUCAAAUUUUUUCCAAACGUUAAUAUUCUUAAGAAUAUUUUCUUUUUGAACAUCACUUAGAAAUCUGAUUUUGGGGUCUUUGGAUUCUUCCGUUUAUUUCUCCACAAUAACCUGUUGCAGUAACGCAAAUGUGGUCUCGUUUGACCAAAUGAUUUUCUAAUCGAGAAAACAAAUCAAAACAUGUAUUCAAUCAAAAAACUCAAAAAAAAACAAA